AUUGCCUUCUUCUAUUUGGAAUUGCAUCGGAGUGUGAGUUAUUGUUGUGUAUUGUUUAUGAAUCGAAGUGCUGCAACGUUUAGACUUGAGAGUUGAGACGAUGCUUCAACGUUUAUGAAUCGAAGUACUGCAACGUUUAGACUUGAGAGUUGUGUCUUGUUUGUUAUUGUUGUGUCUUGUUUGUGUAUCGUUUGUUAUUGUUGUGUUCUGUUUGUGUAUUGUUUGUGAUUGUUGUGUCUUGUUUAUGAAUCGAAGUGCUGCAACGUUUAGACUUGAGAGUUGAGACGAUGCUUCUUUUUGUUCUUGUUGUUGUAUUGUAUCAGUAAGUAAACACAUGUCAGAACAAAACAGAGAAUCAAAGAGAAGAAGAAGAAAAAGAUAUGCAUUGUGAAGAAACCAGUUUUUUUUGUUUCUAACUGUAAAAGCAUUUUCACUCUGUGUGGUUCUGAUCUAACUCUGUGUGGUUCUGUUAUAUGUGGUUGUUGUUACAGGAAUUUAACAUUGAGAAGUUGCAGCUAGUUGAAGCAGAGAAGAAGAAGAUUAAACAAGAGCUUGUUAAUAUGUAUGAGAAGAGACUUGGUGACGCUGGUUAUCUCAGUUACAAGCUUGGCCGUACUAAUAACCGUGGCGAUGGCUUUCCAAGCUAGCAAGUCACAUGCUUACAUACCAAUUUCUCGGGUGACUGAAGUGACAAAUACGGUGAACUUAACAGAUAGGAUGUGGGCUAGACUCCUUGCAUCGAUAAAUCAACCGAGUUUCUUGACCGGUGAAGGAGCAUUGCAGAAUGUGAUGGACAUGGAAAUUUGAGAAAAGAUUGCAACAUGAAGACAUCUUCUAUCUAAGAAACAGUUUGAUGACGAUGAUGAAGUACUCGUUCUUGUUCCUCGAGGCUGCGGUACAUCGCUUCUCCUUCUCUUCCGGCAUGUAAUAAUGGAACUUAGGACUGUUUGACUUAGGACUGCAACAGGGGAGAGGAUAUGGGGAAUCAGCAAAAUCCUCAGCAAUGAUCUGUUUUGAAGUGACACUGAAGAUGGGAAGAAAACAACAAAAGUCUUUUGCAAGCACUUUCAGUGUCCUGAAUCAUUCAAUGGUGGAAUCUAGUAGUUUCACUAGAUGAUUCUUCUCCCUCCGUUGUUGCCAGACUCUGCUUAUUAAUCCCUUUGUUCUAUUUUUUUGUUCGAGAUUUUAUUUACUUAUUCACAAGUUUUGGAAACAAGCUAUCAAUCUUAUUUACAAUUUUGGAAGAA